CAAGUCGAGCGAACGGACGAGAAGCUUGCUUCUCUGAUGUUAGCGGCGGACGGGUGAGUAACACGUGGAUAACCUACCUAUAAGACUGGGAUAACUUCGGGAAACCGGAGCUAAUACCGGAUAAUAUUUUGAACCGCAUGGUUCAAAAGUGAAAGACGGUCUUGCUGUCACUUAUAGAUGGAUCCGCGCUGCAUUAGCUAGUUGGUAAGGUAACGGCUUACCAAGGCAACGAUGCAUAGCCGACCUGAGAGGGUGAUCGGCCACACUGGAACUGAGACACGGUCCAGACUCCUACGGGAGGCAGCAGUAGGGAACCUUCCGCAAUGGGCGAAAGCCUGACGGAGCAACGCCGCGUGAGUGAUGAAGGUCUUCGGAUCGUAAAACUCUGUUAUUAGGGAAGAACAUAUGUGUAAGUAACUGUGCACAUCUUGACGGUACCUAAUCAGAAAGCCACGGCUAACUACGUGCCAGCAGCCGCGGUAAUACGUAGGUGGCAAGCGUUAUCCGGAAUUAUUGGGCGUAAAGCGCGCGUAGGCGGUUUUUUAAGUCUGAUGUGAAAGCCCACGGCUCAACCGUGGAGGGUCAUUGGAAACUGGAAAACUUGAGUGCAGAAGAGGAAAGUGGAAUUCCAUGUGUAGCGGUGAAAUGCGCAGAGAUAUGGAGGAACACCAGUGGCGAAGGCGAC
rnacentral:rRNA from 1 species